GAUGAACGCUGGCGGCAUGCCUAACACAUGCAAGUCGAACGACCGCACAAUAAGCUCUCUCCCCUGCUGUUAGCGAGUGACGGGCGGGUAACGCAUGCAUCACCUUCUUCUAUUUCUUGGGUAAUUUCGUAAAACCGUUUCUACUACUGGCUCAUAUUUUGUACGGCUUGGUUCAAAGGUUCUUGACGCCUUUCCUGUCUCUAUUAGAUGAUUCCGUGUUGCAUUAGCUAGUUGGUAAGGUAACGGCUUACCAAGGCAACGUUGCUUAGCCGACCUGAGAGGGUGAUCGGCCACACUGGAACUGAGACACGGUCCAGACUCCUACGGGAGGCAGCAGUAGGGAAUAUUGGGCAAUGGGCGAAAGCCUGACGGAGCAACGCCGCGUGAGUGAAGAAGGUCUUCGGAUCGUAAAGCCCUGUUAUUAGGGAAGAACAGAAGUGGAAGUAAAUGUGGACAUCUUGACGGUACCUAAUCAGAAAGCAACGGCUAACUACGUG
rnacentral:rRNA from 1 species